UUCUUCAUGGUUGUGAACAGGUGCACCAACCUAAAAAUUGUGUGGCUGGUUUCCAAAGUAACUCAUAAACCCACCAGGUGGGCAUGGGUCGUCUUUAUCCCUGCAGGAAACAUAACAUCACUAAAAUGACUCUAUACAACAUUACUUUAAUUUGCACUAUCUGCUUCUCAUUCACACUAACAAAUAUCAAAUAGUUUAUAAGAAACAGAGCAUUAGUUUCAUUCUCAAACAUUUGCAACAAACAUCAUAGACCUUCAAAAGGAUCUAUGACACUACAUGCAGGGAAUAAAAUAUGUCAUUUGUCAACCAUGAUGAUCUGACCAGGAUGAACACACAUGCAGCCCAUAGCCACCCUCCUGCUAUUCUUCCCCAAAUAAGAUGAAACAAAUUGCAAUAUAUACAACUUAGCACAUUCAGCAGCUACCAAAGCUCUGUUCACAUUCAGAUACAGCUAGCAAGUUCACGCAGGUUCACAUUCAGAUAAUAACUAGCAAAGCUCUAUUCACUAACAGAUAAGAUAGAAUUUCACUAACAGAUAGGAGCAAGUCCAGAUCAAUUCACAGGUCAGGUGAUUAACAAGAUGGAUCCCAAGCUGCUGAGCGCACAAACGAAGGAGAAGCUGGAUCAACGUUGGUCGAAUUCCACCAAGCAGUAGAUGGUGAAGUGGGGAAUGGAAACCCACCGAAGACGAUGGAACCGUCGCAGCACUGGGGAAGGCACCUCCACUAGAUGUACCAAUGGAGAUAGGAGGUGUUGCCAUGCUGUUGCUGAGGGAACAGGAGAUGGGGGUACCCCGGUGCCACCACCGCUGAUCCACUUCCGCGACCUAGGGUUCAGCCCAGGGCAUCCGCGCCCAACGAUGAGCCUCCACCACGACUGAGGUUGUAGUUCGACGCCGUCGAGAUGGCUCCGCGACCGAAGGUGUGCACCGGGAACACCGCUAUCGCUGUCGCCGCAGUUGACGCAACAAUGGGGGUGUCCUUGCUCUUCUUGUUUGUGGAAGCUAGUUUGCACUUCCUCGCUGAGGUGCUAAACAUCGCAGCCACCAAAGGUUGGGGUGCCCGAUUGAGAAAGAAAGCUAGAGUGUUGUGGCUGCUUCACCGGUGAAAUAGGGAUGAGGCAGAGACGGAUUUGGCGGGACUGCUCCCUCCCAUGCGCGCCAAAACUUCAUUAGCAUGCACGCGAGUGCCCCAGAUCCGCGCGCCGUCGAGACAAGGGGACGACUCCUACAAUGCUGCUCGGCUGGUCUCCUUUGCAUCGGUGCAUGGGACGGCUCCGUCGCUUCACGAGACGACGGAAUAGUCGUCUUCAGGCCACAACGGCACAACAGAUUUUUUUUGUAAAAGUACCCACGAAAGGACGGGGUGAAGAGUUUUUAUAAAAGUACCCACGAAAGGACGGGGUGAAGAGCCCCGUUGUACAUACCCUUAUUACGCAACUCACGUGAGAAUGGAUAAAGGAUAUCUUAGGUUGGAUCCUAUGAACUAAUAAGUAUAAUUGAAAGUUUAGUCUUUAAAGAUCUAAACAAAUGAACUAGUUAGUGAGCUAACAACUAGCGAAAGCCUCAACUAAUUGUUACUUCACUAGCAUAUAGAGCCCAACUAGUUGGGCUAAUCACUAAUUCUAGUUCAUCCAAACAGCUCCUUAACCAACCAAACAAAUUGUCGUUUUUCAUUUCAGGCAACAGGUAGGGGCGGCACCCAUUUUCAUUUGCAGUACAGCCCCGAACUAAACAGAGAAAGAGAGACACACAUUUGGCGGCCAAAAAAUCUGGGUUUUGAUCUAUCAUUUUGCAUAAUAAAACUAAACAUCAUGCAAAAAUUUUUAGCAAAAAAAAUUAUUCUUCAUUUUGGAUUUUGGUCUCAGGAGGCCAAAAGCCCAAAAGAGUUACAAGAGACCAUAAUAAGAGCAAUAAAUUCUGUAUUCUAGACAAAACUAAAUAUAACCUUAAAAAUGUUAGUAUUUAGUAUUUUAUCAUUUCAAGGUAGUCGGCAUUUUGCAUUUUGCAUUUUAUGGGAAAUUAAACACCCCCUAGCACAACCAAAUCGUCAACUCCCAACACUGCAGGCUUGAUGGAGCAUCAUUACCACGCUUCGGUUGAAGCUAAGAGCUGCAAAGCAUUUGCCAGUGCCAUUACCACCACCAUUUCAUGUUGCAUGGCUUGACCGGUCGUAAGAGUCCCAUGCACGUCGCAACUCGCACAGGCAUUGCUCUUGCUCGCGGUGCCAUGAUUGCGCCUUUCACAAACUCAUAGUUGAUCAAUUGGAGCACUUGCGAUUAUUGAAUCAUUAUUGUACUACCAUUUAGUAUGAGAUUUGAAAUUUACUUAAUUUAAUUGGAUAAAUAACAGGCCAUAUCUAAUUAAUUAAGUCCAAGAGCUAACAAUUCCAGGCUGUAAUUAAUUGUGCGAGAUGAUGUGUUCCUAGUCCACGAUGACCUUGAGAAGGACAUUGAGGAAGACGAAGGCUGCAAACGAGAUCCUAGUUUCCAUAUCUGCCAGGGAUGGGAUUUCGGUGAGCUAGCUUAAAUAUAGAGUAUUAUGGCAUCUAGAAAUUAACAAUAAUACAGCAAUGCUUUACAGCACUCAAGUGUUUUACAGCAAUUCAACACUCAAUUCCUUUCUGUUCUCUUCCUCUCCCUCUCUUCUUCUCUAACUCUGGCAAGCUUAGAUGAGACUGUGGGAGGCAGGUCGGCCAAAUGGUGGAAACGGCAGGAGGACGACGGUUAGAGUUCCAGCGGUGUAGGAGGCGGUCGAACUAGGUCAGGGCGAGGGCAUCUAUGGCCAUACGACGGUGAGGGGAGGAGAAGAAGAAGGUUGUUGUGGGCGUAAUAGGGUCUCAUCGGAGCUCAAGACCCUACUGCACUGAGGCGGGGCAGUGGACGACGGUAGGGCAUCGGGAGGAGGAAGAGGACGAUGAAGAAAAAAUCAAGUGUUCUCGAGAGCCAAAACACUCAAGCGACAGAUGAUAGAUCCUAAUAUAGAAAUGCAACAAUGUAUCCAAAGUAUGGAGGCACUGCUGUGUUUGUUAUUCCCAUCCUAGAGGUAAUCUUUGGUGUCCACAGGGAGAUAUUUAUUUUGUUCGUGCCUCUCGAGCCUCACCAUAUCAAUUCUAAUUAUGUUUCCGUCUAAUGCUCCGUAUAUAUAAUACGCUAAUAAGAUAGUGAAAUAGACGAAACUGAUCGACACAUUAGGUUUUUUUUACAACAAAUAUUUUUCAUUUGAGCAGCAGGACGCUGCAAUCAGUCUAACAGACUGAAGGUUUACAUCUAUCAGAUGCAUCAGGAAUGGGCACUGAUAGGUAAGGCUCUGAUGAGAGCAUACAUGAUGGAAGAAAGAUUCAACAGGAACAAUAACUGAGAAAGCCUGUCUAUCUAAAGCAUAUGUUGUAUUAUUUAUGUUCCUAUUGAUUUUGAAGAUCAUGGCAUGACAUUGAUCACCUGUGUUCCUGAACAUCUGGGUGAAAAAGGUUUUAUCCUCCAGUCUACAGGAUGUUCUUGGUCAUCUUCAUGUAGGAAUUGUACUAGCUGCUGGUUAUUAGUGAGAAAGGUGGUGUCAGUGAAGUUGAGUCGUUCACUAACAACUGCUGCUAGAGCAAGUGCUACAACUUCCGCCAUGAGGACUGAGUGGACUUCCAAGGCUUGUGCUGUGAUGUAGAUGGUUUGUGUGGUUGUACCUAUGGAUUGACAAAAAAUCCCAAGUCCUAUAGCUAUAUACUGCCUGGUUGGUUGGUCAUACCUUAAGGAGGCAUCAAUGAAGCAUCUGACUCCUUGGAUGAGCUCCAAUAUAGAGAUGAAGUAUUUGUCUGUCUAAGGUGAAGCUCUUGCAUUAGAUGUGAUAAUACCUGGUGAAGUCGGGGUGGCUUGAUUUGUGAGCAUCAUUUUCUAGGGGGUUUGUGCUUGUUGUUCCUCCAUAGGGUGUGAGGUGCAGGUUCCUCCUGUUGGUGCUGCAUGUGAUCAGGUGCAGGCGUCUCCAUCUGUUGAGGUGUGUGGCUGUGAUCCUACGAAGUAAUAGCAAUGGCAGUUUGCGUACCUUGUGCAGUCAUUUGUGGGGGUUGAGGUGGGAUAAGUAGAGUGUCGGUUUGGUGGCUGCUAAUGUGGGCUACGACCACAUGGUGUACCUGCCAUGGAGUCCAAGUUUUUCUGUGAAAUCAAAUAUCAUUCCUAGCUUUCCACAAAUACCAGAAAGUGAUUAGUAAUUUGUUGAAUACAGUAGAUGGGAUGGCGGCGGGGAUGAAGCUUGGUAGGAUUAGUUGCACGCCAUUAGUAUCUUGAGGUAAAUUGUCAGUGCAAAGAAGGGGAUUUGAUGAGAAUACUGUUGUGGGAGGUGAUAGUGGAAGAAUAGGUGGGCAUCAUCCUCCACCACGCCAUAGGAACAUAGUGCUUGUCUAUGUGGGGGAGUAUCUCGCUGCUUGUUUUGUUGUAGCUAGGGCUCUUUUGAUGAGUCUCCAAGUGAAGGAUUUAACUAGAGAUGGUGGCUCCUUACUAUUCCAUUCUCUCUGCAUAAUGGAGUUAGCAUGGGGUCCACCUCAAGAUGUCAUGACCAUCACUAUGAAUAGUUGGUGUUACAGUUAUGACCUGUACAUCCUAAGCAUCAAAGAUGUUAGUGAUGAGGUGAACAUUCGUGUUAUGGGAAUUUGGUUGCUAAAGAUUAGAGAAAUGGUUGGCAUUGGAGAUUGAGUAGCUAGCAGGAUCAUGUGGUCAUGGAUAGAGUUCCGAAUGGGCACCAAGGGGUGGACCAUAUAGAACUGUUACUUGAAUGGAUCUAGUAGACAGAGUUGGAGCGAAGUUUAGUUUUGACCUACAAAAUAGAAGACCAGAAGAUUGAUCUAGGACCAGUGGUGUUGGCUUUCCAAAAGGAGGUGUUGUGGAACUAUUUAGCCUUAAGGACAGAGGUGAGCAUGGGGUUUUUAUUAGUAGCAAUGUUUGCCAAGACCCCCAUUCUUCUUGGGCUAGCAAAUGUCUUCCCAAGACAUGAACGCAAUGGGAGAUGUAGGGUUGUCUUUCUAGACUCUAGUGCACCAAAAUUUCCUGAUUAUAGUGUUGAUUUUACCUAUCAUAGUAUUAGAAAAUAGCACAGUACACAUGUAGUAUACAGGGACCAAAGCUAGGACAGAUUUGAUGUAAGUCAGUCUCCCUGCAUGAUUAAGCUUGUUAGCUUUCACAGUAGUUAACUUAGCUCUAAAUUUUUUAAGAAUAAACUCAUAAACCUUAUUCCGAUCAUUACGAUUAAAAUAAUCAGGUGGCCCAAGGUGCAUGCUAUUAGGAAGGAGGUCAGGGGUAGGAAAGAUGUUCCUGAUAUCAUUUCUAGUGGUCAAAGGCACCUUUUUACUAAAAAGGAUUGAGGACUUCUAAAGAUUGGGAGUUUGCCUAGAGAGGUGGCAAAAGUCUUGUAAAAUGUCCCAGAUUUUGGUGGCUUCAAUGAUGGAGGCCUCGCCACAUAAGAUUAGAUCAUCAACAAAGAGAAGAGAGUGAAUGGGAGGGCAACUAGGACCAAGGGAAAUGCCCAAAAAAUUGGAGUAAUGAGUUCAGUUUGAAGGUGAAUGGAUAGCUCAUUGGUGGCCACAACAAAAAGACAAUGAGAGAGGGGGCAGCCCGGGCGAAUACCAUGAUGGGGAGUGAAGGAGGUGGAAGGCUCUCCAUUGAUAAGGAUGGAGAAAGUAGUAGUGGAAAUACAAGCUUGAAUGAGGUUGGUGAAAUUGGAGGGCAGCCCAAGACGAUUUAGAGAGUCCCAAUUCAGACAAUCAAACGUUUGGCCAGGUCAAGCUUGAGAUAAAAAAGCUUGCUGGUUCCAGUUUUUUAGGUUGGAAGAGAUGUGCCUGUGUUUUGAUGAAUGCAACUUAAGAUUAUUGAGUCAAUCGACAGCAACUUUGGCGUUUAGUAGAACACAGCAUGGUGCCAAGAUGAUACUACGAUGUCAGCAAAAACUUGUGGGAUCCACCAUUUAGUAAACGAUUAAAGAAAUUUUGAUUUCUUUUUUGUCGUUUCUGCACACCUCCAUGCCUACCAUACGUGUACUGUGUUGUUUUCAGUGGCGGAGGCAGCUGGCAAGGUUCGGCCUCCGCCGUACCUAAAAUGUAUAGAAAACACUAGUAUAUUAUGUGUAUAUACGGUUAUACACGUGAAAUAUACAUGGCUUAGCCUCUGCCACUGUGCACGAAUAGAUUUUGUUUGUGGGCUGGUAUCUCGUGGGCUUACACGACUACGAGCCCGUUCGCUUCUUAGCUGUACUUUUUUUCAGUGAUUUUUUUUUGACCAGCGAAUAGGCUCUAUGUCAAAAGCCCACGACACUAUCCAUAGAAGGAAGCAGCUCAUUGGUCUUCCUGCCUUCCUGGCUGGUCGACUACUCCAGGUUUUAGUGGCCGACUUGUUUAGUUUCAAUUUUUUUUAGCAAAAUAGAUACUGUAGCACUUUUGUUUGUAUUUAACAAAUAUUAUUCAAUUAUAGACUAACUAGGCUCAAGAGAUCUGUCUCGCAAAUUAUAGACAAACUGUAUAAUUAGUUAUUUAUUUUAUUUAUAUUUAGUGUUUCAUGCAUGCAGUGGCGGAGGCAGGAUUUUUGCUUGGGAUAUGCCAAACAAAAAGUUUUCAUAUACAAAUCGGUAAAAUCUAUUUAGCAAUUCGGUAGAAUUUUAUAAAAAAAAUGUCUAACAAUUCGGUACACAACUGUUAAGGCCUUGUUUAGUUCCAAAAUGGACAUUGUAGUAUUUUCGUUUGUAUUUAAUAAAUAUUAUCCAAUCAUAGACUAACUAGGCUCAAAAGAUUUGUUUCGCAAAUUACAUGCAAAUUGUGCAAUUAUUUUUUAUUUAUAUUUAAUACUUCAUAUAUGUGCCGCAAGAUUCGAUGUGACAAAGAAACUUUCAAAAUUUUGCUAAUUUUUUGGGACGUAAACAAGGCCUAAAUGGCAUAAGUCGUGCGUCCAUGGUGUGUUUGAAAGGAGCGUCCGAGAGCAGGUGCGAGACGAAUACCGAGGUCUUGUUUAGUUCUUCUAUGGUCUCCAAUGGGAGGGUUAGCUGAUCCACAUUAGUUAACCACUACUCCACAUUGGGCAAAGUGAUUUUGUUAACGCACGUAGCCACGGUAAAUCAUAAUUAAAGAGCCAUCGUGAUCAACUUUCAUUAUGUGAGCUUGAACAAAAUGAUCAACAUCAAGAGUUGGCCUACAAAUAAUUGUAGAGCUUUGCUAAAUUUCCACACCCUUUCUCCCACUCCAAAAAGCCAAAGUGCUCAAUCCUUAAGCAAAUCAUUCCACCAGGAGAACAAAAGCAAUGUUGUGGUGAUCAACAUCAAGGUAUAUCUGUAGAGCUUUGCUUUUACCGGUUAACGUGCAAUAUGAGUGCACAAUUAUGUUUAGGAUAGAUUUAUUAAGCUAAUAUUGUUAUCUAGUGCCACUAGGUGGGGACUAACAAUACACAUGUGUUAGACUCAGUGACAUGGUGAGGAAGCAAGUGAAAACCUUUGAAAAUGCAAACUCAGUGCUAAAGGUGUUAUUGUUCCGUCUGCCACAUUUGGGAGAUAUCAUAUUUGAAAAAGGGUUUAAGAGAGGGGCUUGGUGAGAUGGUUUGAAUAGUCACUAGAUAAGUCCGGUGGUCAUCAGAGCUUAGGCACACCCACUUUACUAGUCUAGUCAUCAGGCUGUCUCACUCUGUAGUGGGCCACCAAAAAUAUCCAUGCCUCUAGGUCCGAGCACUAAAGUUUAGGCUCCUUCACUUUGGGAGAGAAGGGGACGCUGGACACGAGGCAACAAUCGGCAAUGGCUGCAAAGCACACAAAGUUUAGAAGGAUAAAGGAAGACGACUAGAGGAGGUUAAAUAGUCAUUUCUAUAACUAAAUCAUGAAUCCUAGGCAAAUAAAUAACAUUAAUAAACUAUUUGUCACUUCCCACUAUAACAGCAGAAAUAAAACAACAGAGAUAAUCUAUUUUCAUAACAAUACAAUAAAAGGUACAUGACUCAUUAUUUCCAUGAUGAUUCCAUCCCUACCUGCGAGCGUGGAAAGCCUAAAAAGCCUCUCUCCACGGCCUUCCUAAAAAAAGCCCACCUGGCCACCUGUAGUUCAAUAUAAGCUACUGGAGAAGCUAGGCGUUUGGUCCAUCUCGAACCGCUUUUAAAGCUAAACAGCCCAAUAACCCAUUUCAAACAAGGUCGAAGCCCAAUGAGGCAGGUGGCCCAAAACCUGACCCGAUUCUCUCCCAAUUCUUUUUCCUCGUGUUGGAAUCGGAAUUGGAAUUGGAAUUUGUACGUAGUGGCGGCGAUAUCUGGUUCAGAGUGGGUGUUGAUUCGUGGAGAGCAGCUGGUCGGGCCCAUCCGCGCAGUUGGCUUGGCUUGGCCGCUGCCGCCCGUGCUCGCACCGGCCGCCCCACCUCCAUCUUCCCAUGGUGGUGGUAUCAUCCCCCCCCUUUCCUCUUCCUCCUCCCCACGUGCAACCACCUAACCCCUCUCCCACCGCCCUCCUCGCCUAGCCCGCCGCCACAGCGGCCGUCGACGAGCGCCAUGCCCGCCGCGGCGUCCACCUCCGCGACCUCGCUGCUGCUGGGCGGCGGCAGGCUCCCGCGGCUCCAGCUCCAGUCCCUCCGCGCCCCCGCCAAGCCCCCCUUCCGCCGCCCGGCCUCGUCCCCGUCCACACCGCUCCCCAGAUGCCGCGCCAGCGCGAGCCCCCGCCCUCUGGGCCCCGUCUCCGCCUCCGCCCUCGCGCUGCCCGUGUCGGUGACGGCCGCUCCCCCACCGCAGGUGGAGGAUGGUGGCUGGGUGGGAGGCGCGGCCGCGGCCGCGGCCGUGAGGAGAGUAGCUGUGGCGGUGGCGUGCGGGGCGCUCGCGGCGGCGUGGUGCCGCCGGGCGAUGGCUGUGGGGGCGGCCACGGCGGCGGGAGCGGGAGCGGGGGCCGGGGCCGGGGCGACGGGGGCGGUGGAAGCUGCCGCGGGGAUUGGAGGGAUGGCGCUGCACGGGGGCUGGCCGAGAGUGCUGCAGAUUCUGCAGCUGCUCAGGGAGCAGGGCCUGGUUCUGGCCGCGCUGCUCGGCCUCUCUGCGUUCUUCUCCAUGGCAGAAACUUCUAUCACGACGCUUUGGCCUUGGAAGGUGCGUUCAGCAAGUCUACGGAGACCCAUUUUCUUAAACUCCUGUUGUUGCCAUAGUAAUUACUGUACGUACGCGAAAUGAACUAUGCUUCCAGUUUUGCAAUCGGUUUGGUUCACUGAGCUACGAGGUAGGAUAUUGGGAGAUUUUUGGAUACUUAGAUGAGCAGAUUGGUAUUGGUGUAGUGUUGCUGCUAAGAGGGGAUGCUGAGAUGGGGUGAGUGUCUUAUGGGUACGUCCUUGUAUCAACUACUAUACUCAUUCUAAAUGGGUUUAUGCAAUGAGUAUUUGUAUGAACAAAGCAAACGGAUACGCACUAGCUUAGGCUGUUGGGUUGGGCUGUGGCAUGUGUGGGUCGAGGAUGUGGCGGUUGUCAUGCACAUCCUGCUUCAGCAGUGAUGUGAUAAUUUUGUCUCGCUUGCUGAUGACAUAAUCCACAGCACAAGUUUGUAUUUGAGAAGUGAUGUCACUGCUGGGAGUGUUGCUGAAAGACAUGGGGAAAGCAUUAUUGCUCCUUCCUUUUUUUUGUAGGAUAGAGGGCUGAGCAGCAGGCAUAACUGAUUGACAAGCUGACAACAGCAAGGUGCUUCAGAUAUAAUGACAGUGUGCACAUGCGCUUUAGUGACAUGUUGUGCUAGUGAUCUGUAGGAGAAUUAGGCAGGGAAUCUAUGCAAGGAAAGUUUUUAUUAUUUUGAAACUGGAACUAAUGACACUGGUAUUGGAUUACCGGUCUUACUGACUUUAUAUAUAAUCUCCCUUCACACCUAAUCUCAUCAACUGGAUAGGUAUUUCUGGUUCAGAAUAUUUAUAGCUUUGAACAGAACAUUGGUGCUCUUGUAACUAUCAUUAAAGGGGUCCUGCCUCUUUGUUCAUGUUUAUCAACAUUUAAAUUCAAUUCUAAUUCUUCAAAGACUACAACAAGGUGAUCAAUGUAAAUUGAUGGCUGGAUUCGGUUAAUCACAUGUUGAACUUGCAUUUUAUUUUUAGUAGAGGUUUAUUUGCAAGCACAGGAAUAAUGAAGCCCUAGGUUUAGUGCAUUUUUUCCCUCCAGAGUUGAGCCUAAGGAUUCAAGUUCACUGACACUUAUCAUUGUGGGUUCAAGCAUUUGCACACAUAUUAGCAUAUUGAAAUGGCUAAAGUAUUAGAGGUUGGUGCUAGAGUCUUUCCAUAACAGCGCACUUGGGACUGAAGUUUGAUUCAUGCAAAAUUUUUCAAUUGAAUCAUGCUUGAUGUUCAAAAACUAGCAAGAAUCAUAGAAAUAGCAACACUGUAUUGUGUAAUAGGUUGCAUACCUUUUCCCCCUUUGCAUUUGUUUAUUUUUCUAACGUUGUUUGGAAAUUGCCACAUCAAGGCCUAAUUUUCUAGUGAUCUGCCUAGCGCCCAAUAGCUAGCUAGCCUCUCUACUCAAGCAUUGAGGCAUCACCCCCUUCUACCCACCUAGGGCAUUUUCAGAUCAGUGUUUUGAAACUUUGCUUCGUAGUGGUACUCUUUUCUUAUUGUAACUGACUGUAUGCUGAGAGCGAAUAUCUAUAUGCUGAGACUUUGCUGAUUUCUUUUUUCCUUUGCAUUAGGUUCGUGAACUAGCUGAGAAGGAACCUGAGAAUGGUGUUUUCAAAAUGCUCCGAAAUGACGUCACUCGUUUCCUGACAACUAUUCUCAUUGGCACAACGUAAUCCAUGGCAUUUCUAAGUUGUGCAUCACUCAUUGCAAUUUUGUUUUACUAACCCUAAACCCUAAUCUCGGGCAUAAUUUGUAUGAAAUAGUGUGGUCAACAUUGGCGCAACAGCAAUUGUUACUGAGGCAGCAACAGCAAUGUUUGGUGAAGCAGGUGUUAGUGCAGCAACAGGUGUCAUGACAGUAUGUCUCCUGUCUCAUACUGGCCUUCUGCUCUUGUGUAAGUGUUCUUUAAUCUAACUAUGGAGCACCAUUUUUUAGGUUGCCAUCUUACUUCUUACAGAGAUCACUCCCAAAAGUGUUGCAGUCCAUAAUGCCACCGAGGUCGCUAGGUUUGUGGUAAGGUGAGAGAUAUCAAGUAUAACUUAGUUUCAAACAUGUUUAUUUUGAGUACUGAACAUUGUGCAUUUGUUGCGAUAUAUCAGACCGGUCGCAUGGCUUUCGCUGAUCCUCUAUCCAGUUGGGCGGAUUGCUACUUUUCUGUCUAUGGGAAUGCUAAAGAUUCUAGGCCUGAAAGGGAGAAGGUAAGACUGUAAGAGUAUGUAUAAUACUCUAGUUCUUGAUCAACUAGAAGAUAAAUUCUUUGAAAAUAUGCCAACUCAAUAAGCUCAUGUUAGUCAUAGAUUAUAUCCCCCAUUAGUUAUGAUAUGCUUUCAAGAAGGAUACACAAACAAUAAAUUAAUUCAUGCCACAAGAACCACACAGAACUCUUUUUUAAGAGCAUAUGGCUUGCUCUGCGUAGUGGAUAUAACCAGGGAAGCACAAGGAUUGAGUUUCUAGGUGUGUGUGGGUUCUGCUCAGGUGGGCAACUCUAGCUUCAUCCAUCUGUAUCUUUUUCUUGAUGAAAUGGCAUGCAGCUCUUUUGCGUCAUUCGAGAAAAAAUAACCAGGGAAGCACACUGAUUGAGUUCCUGGUUCCUGCCAAAUAAAAUCUCACCUGUUUUCUUUUAAAAAUGGAUUAAACUUGUAUAUUACUAGAAUUCAAGUACAAAUGAGAUGGUACAACAUGGACUAGAUUAGACUAGUUUGAGUAUGUGUUGAGUCUAGUUUAUAGGGUGAUAGUUGUACUUUCUAAAAUUUCUAUAAUUAGUAAAUAGUGCAGUGACUAUAUUUUUAAUCAAUAGAUGACCGUUGACACUAUUCCAAGAAUUGCAUAUCAUCUGUUAUUGUUCAUGAAGGAUCUAAUUCUAGUUUGAAUUUGCUAGAAACUUAUUGAUUGCUUUCUGUAUAAUUUAGUUUACAAAUUGAAUUUAGUAUCUGAUAUUGUAAUACAAUACACAUUUGUAUGUUAUUUUUUGCAUUUUUUUUACAAAAUCCAGUACUCAAGUACAUUGAUUUGCUAUGUCUUUUAGUUACUACAUUUGUAUAUGUUUAACCAAUAUACAAUUGAGAUUCCUAUAUAGAUAAGAUUUAGUUUUUCUUUUUCAUAACUCUUGACAUUUCUGGAGAUCUACUUCUGAAUCUUGUGCAUCAUAUACACUUCUUUCCUCAGUGAACCAUAUGUUACUGAAGAUGAACUGAAGUUAAUGUUACGAGGAGCAGAGUUGAGUGGUGCAAUUGCAGAAGAUGAACAGGUUAGACAAUCUAGUAUAUGGAGAUGCCCAUAUAUUGUGCUGCAUAUUUCCUUCUUUAUUCUUUAUGUUUCUGUGUACCUCACAGCAAGAUUUUGUUAUCCAGUGCAAUCUAGGCAAAGCCUUUACUUACAAUUUUUAUAUCAUAUAGAAAGCUGACUACUUACAUAAAUAAAGAGUGAAUUAAUGAAAUUUCAGGAAAAUAGUAACUAACGUUUUUGCAUGAUUUUAACUGCUAAUUUAAUGUUUGUACACCAUCUCAUCACAUAUAUCCAGAAUUUGAAAAGCAGUAUGGCCCCAAAGGUUUGAGUUAGAUUAUACUGUUGCAGACUAGGAUUUUGCCUCUUGAUAGUUUACUAGCACACUUUGGCUACUUCUUUGUUUUCUUGAAAACGCAGGAGAGCUGCACUUCAUUAUAUUAAGAGGAUAAAGGGCAAGAGCCCGAACAACCCCACAAACACCAUACACACACCACACACAUCACACACUCACGCCCCAACAGAAAUGUUACAUUCGCGCCCGUAAGAAAACACACAACGCGACCACUACUAGGCUAAACAUUUCUAACUAUCGGGGAGGAGGGCAGUCAAGAAUGAUAGCUCUCGAGCUGCUGCCAUAGACCAUAAACGGCGCUCCUCGCCUGCUAUGAUCAGAGCGCCAGCAAGGUUUGGAGCUGCUCCAUCAAAGACACACCCAUUGCGAUGGUUCCAUAUAGUCCAAGCUCCGAGCAUAACAAGAGAAUUAAUUCCUUGCCUUGUCAGCCCAUCAGCAGUGCUGCUAGCCUUCUCCCACCAAGCAUGGAAGGAUAAUUCUGUAAGCUGAGGGGACAAAAGCCUGAUUGAACCAAAAUUCUCUUGUGAACACACAAUGGACAAGUAGAUGGUCGAUAGUCUCCUUUUCAUGGUCACAAAGGAGGCAAUUCUCCGGAUGAGGUAACCCUCGGCGUGCUAGACGAUCAGCUGUCCAGCACUUAUUGUGCGACCAGCCACAUAAAGAAACGGCAUUUGGGCAGCACCCAUGAUUUCCAAAUCUUUUCCCAUGGUCCAAAAAGAGUAGAUCCGAAAAAGAAGCCUUCAUAUGCCGAUUUAGCCAAGUAUUGUCCAUUAGAGGAGAGCCUCCAUAGGUGCUGCAGCUGAAAAUCCAGAAGUAGAUCCCACCAUAAGUGAAAGUAGUCAACAAACCCACCAACUGUGAGCGCUCCUUGUAUGUCCAAAAUCCAAGCCCGGUUAGUAAGGGCAUCCUGGACAGUAUGCUGCUUAACCCUCCUUUUAGGAGUAGCCACAAAAAGUCGAGGGGCAAGAUCUGCAAUGCAUUGCCCAUUGAUCCGAUCUGUCCAGAAAAGAGUGUUUGCACCAUCCAAUUUCAGAAGUUACUGCCACUGAGUAGAAGGCUCUUACUUGCUUCGGCACAUGGAAUGGUAGAGCAGCCCAAGGACAAUGAGGUUCUGUUUUCUGCAGCCAAACCCAUCUCGUGCGCAAGGACCAGCCAAGGGUUUUUAAAUCUGAAAUUCCCAGGCCUCCAAGCUCUGGUGGGCCACAGACUUUGACCCAAGCCACAAGACAAUGACCACCUUUUUGCAUAUUUUCGACCCCUCCAAAGAAAGCCACGCCAAAUUUUAUUUACCACUUUGAUAGCCAUGGAGGAAAGUCGAAAGCAAUAGCUAAGUAAAUGAGCAUUCUCAGUGAGAACUGAUUGUACUUGAACCCUUCUUCCAGCCCUUGUCAUUAGGUCUGCCUUCCAGCCAGGAAGUUGAUCUGCAGUACGAUCAAUAAUAGGCUGCACUUGUUUCUUUAGGGAGAGGGGCAGACCUAAGUAUUUGCAUGGGAAAUCCGAGAGGGGCACACCUAGCUAGUUUCUUUGGCUACUGUUAUCCUUUAGGUAUUUUGCAGAACCUUUCCAUAGCAAUCCCAUUAAUCUUUAGGAAGCGAUCCCAUUUGUUAAAGCCCCUGCAGGCAACUUUCAAGUUCAUUAUUCUCGAUCACAGGUAGUCAUUCUGCAUAUUUUUCCCUCAGAAUCAUCAUAAGAAUUGGGUUAAGUGGAUAGGUCAGACUAUAGCAUGGAAAUACAUAAGUACUGAUAGGUUGUUGAAACUAUCUAAGACUACAGAUUUAUCGUGUCAAUUUGUCACAAAUAACAGAUUUUAGCUGAUGAAAUCAGUACUUCUGCAGUACAUAGAAAUACUAAAUGUGUAGUUUUAGUUUUGCAAAAACAAGGACACUAAAUUUAUAAUUCUGUGAUAAAACUUCUUAAAUCUGUAGUUUUGUGAUAGCAUAGCCCACUCACACAUAUACAAAAAAAAAGAAAAAGAAAAAAAGGAACCAUAUAGUUAUUUAUGUGCUUAGAUUCUAGGCCCUAGAACUAGAACCUAUAGCUGUGUUACACUAUUAUGAAUUCCUAGUCCGUGCCUGCUUGUGCAGGACACUUUUCUACUUGAUCAGCUAAAGUCAGCACCUGAGUCUUUUAACAGGAUAUGAUCGAGAAUGUCCUGGAAAUUAAAGAUACACAGGUGAGGGAAGUAAUGACGCCUUUGGUGGACGUAGUUGCAAUUGAUGCUAUUGCAACACUUAUUGAUUUCAAAAACUUGUGGGAAACUCAUCAGUACUCUAGGUAUUGUCAACUAUUAUUGUCGCGUGUAUUUUCAAGUCUUAUCACUGACAUCUGCUGCUAUUUGUUAUUUCCAGAGUUCCUGUAUUUGAGGAGCGCAUAGAUAAUAUUGUUGGAAUUGCAUAUGCAAUGGACAUGCUUGAAUAUGUUGAAGAGGUAUGUCUCUUGUUUACCAUUUAAUGUAAAACUUAAUCACAGUGAGUCUUAUUUGCUCCACAUGAUGCUUCUCUAAAGGGAAAGUAAAAGGUGUAUUUUUCUUUUGAAGGUUGAGAAGCUGAAUGAAAUCACUGUUAAGAAAAUCGCACAUAUGCCUACAUACUUUGUUCCAGGUAAUUUUUAGUAACAUUGUUGGAUACAAGUAUCAUGAUGAACUAAAAGAAGGCAUCUGUCAGUAGUUAUAGGGUUGGAUGUUUUUCCACAACAAUUAAUCAUUUCUGCCACAUGUUUUCUCCCAUCUAUGCAUCAUGGAUGUAACAUAUGAUACUGUUUCAUCUGGCAGAUUCAAUGUCUGUUUGGAACCUAUUAAGAGAGUUCCGGAUCAGGCAGGUUCAUAUGGCAGUGGUCCUUAAUGAAUAUGGUGGAACUAUUGGUGUAUGUCCCUAUGAAACCCAUUUUUUAUACUUUACAAACUGGACACAGUUUAGUACUUGUUAAUAUUCUUGUUAUGCUUUCAUCCAAGGCUAGUUGCUCAAUUGAGACCAUUUUGACUUAUGGCACACAACGAGGUUCAACAUUGUUUACUCCAAUCAAUUUUUAGUUGUAACUUCCAAGCAUGCUAGUUAGUUUGCUAAUAAUUGAUGAAUGCUAGUCAGUACAUGGUGACAUUUUGAUGGCCAUUUAUUGGCAACACUACUGGCUUUUGUUCCACAAUGGUCGUGUUUUUAGCACAAGCAUGUGGUGCGAUGCUUCAAGUGAUCUUGCUGCACAGCUUAUGUAACUGCAGCAAUGGGGCACUUUUCAUCUGUUGCAGUAGCAGUCCCUGUUGUUCAUGGUUUGUUUCCUUUUAAGAUAUACCCCACACAUAGAGAUUAGUUAUGCUCCAUGCAGCAGAGAUUAUUACUUUCCACAAGUUUAGAGAUUGUUUCUUAGGAAGUAGUUAUGCUCACAGUUUGUUCAUCAGUUUCUGUUUUCAGAAGUAGUUGAUGAGCGAUGAACAUGUUUUGAUUAUGUUUGCUGCUGAAAGGAUAAUUCUUUAAGAUGUUUUUCUCAUUACUGAUGCUCAUUGGUAAAAGUUGCAAAUGAUUGGACAAAGCUACUACCCGUGAGCUUCCUUUGUCUCACAUACCCUUCGAGCAAUUACGCUUUAAUGUAGCAAUAUCUAUCCAUUACUUGCAGCAACUAAGUCCUAUUGUAUUCAGAAAUGUUUAUUAGAACAGUUUGUAAUUUCAUAUGUUUAUCACUGCAUGGGACAUUGGGAAUUACUCUGACCUUUGGCCAAAAAAAAAUGCAGAUUGUAACACUAGAAGAUGUAGUGGAAGAAAUAGUUGGUGAAAUAUUUGACGAGAAUGAUUCCAAGGUGAUUAUUUCUGGAAUUUUUUAUUUCAAAUCGCAAGUGGGUGUUCAGUGCCAUACAUAUGCAUGCUAUUAUUUUCUAUUUCUUUUUCAAAAUUAUUUCCCCCUUUCUUUUGGUUUAUUAUUCCCUUUUUGCCUUGUAACUAUCGUUCUUAUAUUACAUAACUGACUUUUCAUAUGUUGGUAAUAAAUAAUGAUAUGCUAGCAUUUGAACUUACGAAAUUUAGUGGGCCAAACAUACUGAGCCAUGCCAAAAAAGACAGGCAAAUCAUACAGUCAUAUUUUAGCAGCAGCAGUGCAUUAGCGCGGUGGGUACUGAGCCGGAGUUUGCAUGUGCCUGAAGGUGGCUGAAUGAAUAAGGUGGAUAUUACCCUACCCGCACCCAAAUCAAAAUGUGUAUUUUAUUUCUACCCAUACCCUCCCCAAUUAAUGCGGGUGUGGAUUUGAAUAUGGGGAUUGAAUAUCCAGCGGCAGGUAUAAAGAUUAGAUCUCCUGCCUCAGUGCUUCUCCAAGAUCUGGAAGCAGCUGCUUCACUCCUAUUUUCUGUAUCCUAGUCAAAACAAAGGAUUUUUCCAUGUAGCAAGCUAGUUGCUCUUUGUCAUUUGCUUAGGCAGUCUCUCAAUUCCUUCUGCUACUCUGUUUUUCACCCUUUCAGGAGGAAAUCCAGAAGAAAACAGGCUAUAUAGUGAGGCGGGGAGAUGGAACAUUUGAUGUUGAUGCAAAUACAUCAAUAGAUCACCUCUCUGAAGAGCUUGGUAUCAAAAUACCAGAGGUAUUGUUUCUCAUUUGAUCUUAGCUUUCUCUACAGUUGCUAUGCAUUCCCUUGGACAUGUGUAUAUUUAAGGAAGGUAUGGCUCGGAAAAUAGUAGAUUGAUUAUGAGUAGUACAAAAGGGUAGGCAAGGAUGAUCUGGGAUUUAUAGAACAAUACCCAAUCAGGGAGAUCCUUGCCUAAUAGCUAAUCAACUACAUAAAACCCAUGGAGGCAGGCUUAGGUGCCAGGGCCCAUGCGGCCAGCCCAAUAGCCCUCUGGAAACUCCAUUCUAACAUAUAUGUUGGAGUGGACACUGUAUGAUGAUCAUCGAAAUGUGAGUUCCAUCAUUUAGAGAUGCCUGGUUUGCAGAACCUAUACAGAUAUAACGUUAUUAUAUCUAUUUUUUGGUGGAAACUGGACAUUUAAUAUUUAGGUCAACAAAAUAUUCACAAAUGUUCUGUUUGUAAAAUAUGCCCUUGGUAGUCAUCAUUUAUAUGGUGCUCUGUAUUUCUGUCAUGUUUCUCGUAGAUUGGCUGAUAAUCUUGAGACACUUGGACACUAUCUUUUGGCAGGGGCAUCAGUAUGAGACGGUGUCUGGUUUUGUCUGUGCAUCUUUUGGCUAUAUUCCAGAAGAAGGUGGGAAAAUGCUUGUGAUUCUUGAAAAGGAUUACAGAGAAGAAAACGGUGAAUAUCAGGAGGAAGGUUCUGAUCGCCAAGAUGAUAGAGAAAAAACUCAAGCUUACGAACUUGAGGUAAUUGUUACAACUCCUUGUGUACUCUGUUUGCUCAAGAGUUCUAGUACCAGGUCAAUUAUUAUAAUGCGAUUAUCUUGUCAUCGCUAGAAAUCUUUACUAGUAUAUAUAACUAUUAUGAAUUUUCCUUCAUUACUUGAAAGCUGAAAGACACCACAAAAGCUUCAAUUUUCUUUGUUGAUGCAAUACCAUGAAACCUUUUUUGUUAAAUAACUCUCAUUAGAACCAAUUUUCCAUACAGGGCAUUUGGUUCUUAGAUCAUUUUAUAGGAUAUUUCGUACUAUAAGUAAGAACCAACUACUAUCCACAAUUACCUCUACAUGCUUGUUUGUGCAUAUAAAAAGACAACAAUACUCAGAAGGUUGCUGUAACAUGUCCACACUCCGCUUUUGUGGUGCUAAUACUACCGAACAUUUGUAAUUGCUUUUUUUAUUUGAAGCUAAAAAAAGAAAGUAUACAAAAACUAAUAGAUAAGAAAACCAACUACUCAAUUGUCAAUUCAGAAUUCAUACUGUGGGUUAUAAGGUUAUUUCAGUGAAAUUGUUUUGGUAUUGGUACACAACCUUUAUUAGUUGGUGCAACUCCCAUUUCCGGAAGUCUUCGUACACUUUAAUUGAAUUGCUGCAGCCCUAGGAAUCCAUAGUUUCUGUUUCACAAUUCACCCAAAGUUUCAUUCUUUGUUGCAGAAUUAAAUAACCUUCUGUAGUUGUUUUCACUACCUUUAUUACCUGGCUUCUCUUGCUCACAGAUAGUGGAAGCUAAUGCAAGGAAGGUGGGCAAAGUCCUAUUUAAGCCAAUAAGCAGUGAAUGUGUUGGUGUUGACAACAAGGGUGUGAACCGCCUGGUCUCCAAGAAGAUCAUCAAACGGAAGAAGCAGGGCUAUGAUGAUUCCUCCGGUGACGAGUAUCCAGAUACAACAGAGAAUGGCUGCCCUGCUGAGGCACUCUCCUACUCGGAUGGUAACAGUGCCUUGUUGGAAGAUGCAAGCAGUUCUAGUGCCAAGAGGUGACAAUAAAGGAACUCCAAGACCAUCGUACUACUGGUAAUAAUUACAGCACACCGUCACCGGUCCUAAUACCCCUUGUUACAACAGAAGAAGAUGAGAAGAACAUAGUAGUAGGCUACCCAAAAAAAAAAACUGCGAGAGCAACACCAAGAGGUUAACAGCAGUUUAAGGCAUUGCAACAUUUUUCAGUAGCAGGAGUAGCAGUAGUAGCAGUCUAGAGGUGCAGCGAGGUGUCGACGUCGACUUCACCAGAGACAUGUUUGUAGUUGUAGGUCUUACUGGGCCACAGCUCCACCGCAAUGGGGUCGCUAUCGCCGUGGAGCUGGAAGCUUUUGCAUUCACAGACAGUGGUUGGCACGGCCGGGAAUAAGGAGGCUGCGGCGGCAACAGCGGCAGUGGUUUCCCGCAGCGGCCUGCACGGGUAGAGCAGCUCCGGGUGGAAGAACCACUUGACGGGCAUCUCCCUCGGGGAGGCGGUGGCCGCAGGGCGGGGGGCGAGCACGUGGAGAAGCCUCUCCUCCCGCUUCUCCCUGAUCCUCUCCAGCUCCCUGAACCUCUGCUGCAGCAGGGCGAUGGAGGAGAACAUCACCUGGCCUUCGCUGCUCUGCACCCCCAUGAUGACUGGGCGAGAGGGGGAGCUCUCACUCCAGCUCCGAGUUUCAGUUACGUGUUCGUGUCGUGUGUAUCUCACUCAAGCGUCUGUCUACUUCGCUCGGUGUGUGUGGGGGUUUUGCUUGCUGCUUGAAGGGGUGGUGGUCUUGGGCAUGUGCGUAUUUAUAAGCCGCAAAGUUUUGUCACGGCGCAGGGCGUCGUCUUGUGGUCGUCUUGCAAGUUGCGCCAAUUCUUUCAUCUUCAUCUUCCAUUAUGUGAUGCUAUGCCUGUUUGUGUGUUUUGUUUAUGGGCUGAUUGAAAAACAAAAGAGGCACUAUUGGUAUGAGAGAGAAUCUGGGAGGAGAAUGUCACGUCGCCCGAGAAAGGAAGUGGGAGGCGUGCAGGUGAGAGAAUAAGGGGCGUGGCGUGGGAGAGUCCAAGGAAAUGGGGCUGUGGACGCUUGCGCUUGUUCCGUUCCUGGCGGUGGGAAUCGCCGUGUGCCGUUGUGAUGUGCGGGGUGGCCAUGAUUGCGCCUCUGUUUGUCUGUCACCUUUUUCCCUUGCGCAUUGCUGCAGCAGCAGGGCAGGGGAGAGGUCUGCAUGCCCUGCCAUGCCCUGCCCUGCUGCUCGUACUAGCUCGCUACUACUCCCUUCCCCCUCUCCAUCCAAACGGGCACUGCGAGCUUUUCCUGGUCUAUAAUGGCGUCGUUGGAGCUGUAGUACGUGCUGUUCGUAGCAACUGUGGGCAGCGCUUUCAGGUGUGGAACUGUGCACUCCAUGAGCCAUUGUCUUCGUUUGCGUGUGUGAACGUGUUGGAGAGUCUGGGAGCAGAAAGUCUGCGUUGAACGUUACUUCUUUGGGUCUUUGACUGGUGCGUCCAUAGAUCUGUGAAUGGGAGCGCUGAUUGCACGCUGCGUAGUACAGUGCGUUCGAGUAACGCUGAGACGGCGUGCUGCUUUGAAGUUUCAACUUUUGGUUAAUUCAGGAAAGUUGAUUGAUCUUAUGUUUUUUGACGGCCAGGUAAACACGGCCAAUUGCACCGGCGUCAAAAAGACCUCUGUCAUCCGAUGCUUUGGACAGUAAUUGAGAUAUUCGUAACAAAUGCUUCACUACCCGAAGAGAAAACUAGUUUUCGUUGGUUUCCGCAUUUUGUGAAAAUAAGAAAGGGCAUGUUUGAGUCAGAGUCGGGUUAUUAUAAUUGGAUUAUCGACUCUAAUAAUUAGAGUGCUAGAUUUUUUGUGGUGGAACCUAUCCAUUUCUUGCCUAGCCAGCCAACUAUCAUGAUGCUACAUGGUAUUUAAGUAACGACCAUUUUCUCAAAUGGUCAAGGAUUAUAUUCUUCUUUGAUUUUUUUUUCCCUUCAAGUGGCCUAGGGUUUUGUAGUCUAAUGUGAACAAUAUCAGGUGAAAACAAAAUAGCAUCAAAGAAUAGAUAGCCAAAAUGCCUAACGAAAAGGAAAAUUGUGGGUUACAUGUCUCAUGAAUUAUUUGAUGAAGUAGAAUAAGAUACGUUCGGUUAUUUGAGAGAAAAAAAAACUGCACAACAUAAAAAAAUAACUGUUUGCCUAGUUGGCUAAGAAAAAAUAUAGUGGGCUCCAUGGCUCCUAAGACUCUUUAAAUAUCAUGUAAAUGGAUAUAAAAGAAGUCAAUAAAUCAUUCUGCUGAUAUUGACUGAAUUAUUUGCUAUCAACAAUUAUCCAAAAAAGAUUUCUUUAAGAAUAAUAUUUCUACCAUGUAAAACAAGAAGAAAAAGACAAAUUAAUCGGAACUUUUGUUUGUGGCUGGAACUAUUGUAAAUGUCAUUGUUGAGUUGAGAUAUUUUUUUUUUGAAGUUCCCUUUUUGCGAGGAAUGAGUAAUCUGAACGUUAUUUGUUUGUGGUUGUUGAUUCCCUGGAGCUGUUAUAGAAGUCAUUAUUGAGUAGAGAUUUUUUGAAGUUCCUUUUUGCAACGAAUGAGUAAAUAGUUGCAUAGAUGUUUGAUGGUAUUAGCAUACUCUGCUUCUAAAAUAAUGAAAGGGAUUUUCCGUUACUAUUUAGUUGUGGACUGAGGCCUGAAGAAGUAUGUUUUGAAACUCGGAAUUUCAUGGAGGAUUUGUAGGAAUCCCAUAUAUAAUAAACAUGUCAAAAUUAAUCCUCCUAUAUUUUCUUGGUCAUUUUCUAGAGCUAGGCUCAUUUAUCUUUAAUUUGUCUAGUGAAGAGUAUAUGUAUAUCCUUUGCUCCAAACAUGUAGUGGUGAGUGGAGUUUACUAAUAUUAUUAUGUGUAGUUAACCUAGAACUAGAAGCUUGGUAACUGAGCCUUAUCUAAUCUGGCCCUAAACUAACUUAUCAUCCAAACUGAUCAGUUGGAGUCUUGUGACGAUGAUAUCUCUGGUUUGUUGUGGAACGGGACUAGUACUGCCGGACAUAUUAUACAUUGGAUGCAUGCGACAUAUAUACAGUGUUGAACUUGUUUAUAUUAAUUUAUCCUGGAUAGCCAAUAGUAGCCCAUAACAUUAACAUGCAACAUAGUAUAUGCAUUUGCAUGUACUGCUAGUUCCCUGCUACGUACGAUCCUGACAGUAGGCACCUAAUCUUUCCAUGCCCCAAUAUUUUACCGCCGCUGUCGCUUCCAUUCUAGAGAGAGAACAAUAUGACCAUCUUGUAAAACAUUCUAGAGAAGAGAUGCAUGGAGAGUAUGGCAAUAAUUUAAGCAGAUUGAUGGGAGCGAGAUAUUUUUAAAGGCAGAUCAUCGAUUGAUGCAUGGGAGCGAGAGAGCUUAGCAGAGAAAAUAAAGAAGAUUGGUGAUUGGUGAUAGGCCGGGGCAGCCGUGGUGCAGCAGCAGCUAGAACUAGAGAAGCUAAAAGGAAGGCUGAUGGCAGGGCAGGGCAGUAGUUUAAGGACGGGUCCAUGCCUGCAGCUAGCUAGCAUCUAUCGACGUUCCUCCGUUGUCGCGGAGCCGGUGGACGCGAAUGGCAUGCGUGGGUGCACUACCCUGCUGAUGCACACAGCAUGCAUUGCUGCCUGCAUGCGACAUGGUAUACAGCUCCCGGCCGGCGUCUCUCCUCUCCUCUCUUCUCUUCUCUUGUCCAUCCAUCGGCAGCAUACGGUCGGUCACUCGCAGCAUGCAUGCUCCUCUGAUCGAGCUCUGCUGGUGUCGUGUCGUGUCGUCGAUGGAUCGGGGCCGGGUUGGGUGUUGCUGCAUUGCAUGCUCCCUAAAGCGCCGCCCUUGUUGCCAAAGUGAAUGCUGCCGACGACGACCGCCGCGCCGCCCGUCUUCUUUUUCGGCGGAGGGGGGCGGCCGGGCACGGGCACGGGCACGGCACAGUCUUCCGGGCAGGGGCAGGGGCAGCCGGGCAAGCCAACACCUGCUAGCGGACGAGAAAUUGAAUCGAAUGGGAAACAAAGAAAAAAUUGAUGGCUGAUGGCUCCAUCUUUCUUUCUGUCUGUCUGUCUGUCGGUCAGUCAUUUUACUAAUUUAUUUGACUGCGCUACGGAGACGACAGUGUAACAUUUUUAUUUGUAUUUAAUAAUUAUUAUUUAACUAUAGACUAAUUAGGCUCAAAAGAUUCGUCGCGUAAACUAUAGACAAACUGUGCAAUUAGUUUUUAUUUUCGUCUAUAUUUAGUACUUUAUACAUGUGCCACAAGAUUUGAUAUGACGGGAAAUUUUAAAAAGUUUUUGAAUUUCGAAGUGAACUGGUCAAAUAUGCAAUGCUUGUACGUGCGCACUAGUUUAUGCCAAUGAUUCAUUUUUCGCGGAUCCUCCGAAUUUCACACCAUACAGUCAGAAUAUAAUUGCUCCAAGACACGUCAAUUUUGAUGCGUCAAUUUGUGCAUGUGGUUCCUGGCACUACUGGAUCCGGCUUCUUUGCCGAGAGCCGCGAGCCCUCGGCAAAUGCCUAAAAGCCCUCGGCAAAGGCUUUGCCGAGGGCCAUAAACGCCCUCGGCAAAGCCUACGGCGCCGUCGAAAAACGUCAAUAUUGACGUCGUCUUUGCCGAGAGCCAUGCUGGCAGGCUCUCGGCAAAGAUUCUUUAUUUUUUUUAAAAAAAGCCUUUGCCGAGAGCCCUGCAGGAAGGCUCUCGGCAAAGAACCCCUUUGCCGAGAGCCAGACAUCCAGGCUCUCGGCAAAGAACCCCUUUGCCGAGAGCCAGACAUCCAGGCUCUCGGCAAAGCUGUAGUUCUUCUGAACCCGGCUUUCUAUCUUUGCCGAGUGCCAGCCAUCCAUGCUCUCGGCAAAGCUGAGAAUUUAGUUUUUUUUUCUGUUUUUUAUCUGUUUUUUACAUGCACAGCCACAUAUGUAUAUAUAUAUAUCACAAAUCCCUUUGUCUAUAUCACAAUCCACAUAUAUAUCACGCAUGAAACAUAUCGAAGUCCACAGAUAUCACAAAUCCACAUAGAUAUGACAAAUAUAACAUUACGUCCAACAUAAACCAUAAGUCACCACAAGUUCAUAACAUAAACCACAAGUCCACGUGAAUAUCACUCCUCGAAGUCGCUAGCGCCUCACCCCUAGUGCUGUGACUCUGACCUGUCGUCGCCGUGGCCUCCGUCGUGUCCCGAGCCUCCAUCUGGCCAAGCCGACCAGGGUGAGUGCCCCCCAGGGUGUGUAGAGCUCGCACCUGCCCACGGCGCCCACAUGGCCUGCCCUGGCACCGACGGGUACGGGUACGAGUACCCGGGGCGCGGAGGAGGGCUGCCGGACAACCCGGGGUGGCCGUGCUGCGGAUGGGCACCAGGCCACGUGUGCUGCGUACUUGGGUGGCCAUAAGUAGUAACCUGCCACCCACUCCUUGGAGAAGGGGUCGGGUUCGAACCCCACGACUGAUGCUACAUAAUAUAAAAGCGAACUCAUUAGUAUCUGCAGGACGGCCACACAAGCCAAAGCAAUAGACAAACAUAUAUACACUCACCGGACUGCCUGCAGGGGCAGGAACAGGGGGUGGAACAGGGGGUGGAGCGAAGAGCGAGGCAGGCAGCGGAGGCGCUGUAGAGCUGUGGAUGGACUGGAAGUAUCCGACUAGGUCCGAGAUCUGACGCUGCGUGUGCUGCUGCUGUGCCUCCAUGUGGCGCCGAUGGGCCUCGUCUCUGGCCGCCAGCGCGGCCGCCAGCUCUCGCCGAUGAGCCUCCUGCAGCUCGUCCUGCCUGGCCCGCAACUCCUCUAGCUGCGACUGCAAUAUUACACCCGCAAUGGUUAAACAAUGCAAAAGGAGAUGUAUAUAUGUAAAAAUAAUGGACGAUGGAUAAAGCUGUAGUUACCUGCAUCGUAGCUAUCUGCUGCACGGAGCUCGGCUGACGAGGCCGUAUGGGGACGUCGGAGGUCGAGCUGCUCCCCUGCCGAACCUCGCGGAGCGUGGGUACGGUGGCCGGGUUGAUUGCGCUGUGGGCAAUCAUGUACCGGCCGUGCUGCUUCCCUCCUCCCGUCCUCAUGAGCAAGUCCGUGUCCGAGACCCUUUGCCGUGGGCCGUCCAGUCUGGCUCUCGGCAAAGACCCUUUGCCGUGAGCCUAACGCGCAGGCUCUCGGCAAAGAACUGCUGACUUUUUUUAUUCUUUUUGAAUUUAGAGCUGAGUUUUUUUUUUUGUCCUUGUGACUCAAUUUCUAAAUACAUUUUAAAAUUUGGCAUUAAUUUGACUUUUUUUGCUAUAUUUAACUAAUUAAUCUUGUUUCUUUAUAUUUUUUCACAUAAUUCAAAUUUCAACUGUAGGUACAUGAAAUAUUACAACUCAAUGAUUCGAAAAAUGAUAGUCAAGAUAUUUGGUGUACGUUGAGGUCGUAACCACAACCACACAUGAAAUCUCAACCCUCUCGCUAACAUAACAUGUCAAGGAAUGUGAGGGAAAAUGGAUUUAUAAUUAUAUAAAUUUCAAAUAAACUCCAAAAAUCACGAAACUUGGCGACGUGUCGUGUUAUCGCAUGUGGAGGCUGUGGUAAAAAAUUCAUAAGGUUCCGAGCAAGUUGCGACACCGGAUGUCUAAAACCCAGACAUCUCCACAUGUUAUCGAAUGUGAUCACAUGCGGAGAUGUCUGGGUUUUAGACAUCUCGUGUCGCAACUUACUCGAAACCUUAUGAUUUUUUUACCACAGUCUCCACAUGCCAUAACAUGACACAUCGUCAAGUUUCGUGAUUUUUGGACUUCAUUUGGAAUUUAUAUAAUUAAAAAUCACUUGUACGACACAUGGAUGGUCAUGUUUUAUAUACAAGAAAUUCAAACUCUUGGGUGAGUUUAUGGAUACAACAUCAAAAUGCAGUCUUGAACAUGAGUAUAAUUUUUUGAAUGACUAUAUUUUAUUAUUUCAUGCUCCUACAGUUCAAAAUUACUUUUUCGAGAAAAAUACAAAUAAAAUAAUUUAAUUAAAAAAUAUAGCAAAAUGUUAUAAAAAGCUCUCAAAUUUGAACAUGUGCUUAUAUACAAUAUGUAAGGGUUACAGAAAAAGUUUGAGUACAAAACUAAAAAAAAUCUUUCUUCUUUGCCGAGAGCUUGACAAGGCACUUGGCAAAGGCCUCCUCUUUGCCGAGAGCCUAACGCCGUGGCUCUCGGCAAAGGUGACGACAACGGUUGCCGUUACCAGCGCUGCUCCUUUGCCGAGAGCCUAUCUUUGCCGAGAGCUAGGCUGUCGGCAAAGCUAGCCUUUGCCGAGGGCUUGCCUUUGCCGAGAGCUUGACCAUCGGUAAAGUUUCUUUGCCGAGGGUCGUUUCUGACUGUCGGCAAAGGCAGUCUUUGCCGAGGGCUAGCUCUCGGCAAAGCUGAGCCCUCGGCAAAGCUCUCGUUUCCUGUAGUGUGGGCUUUGAAUUGAUCGAUGGCAAAAAGCCGUAAUGGAAGCACGUCGCGUCUUGAAUGCAUGCACUAUAUAGGAAUAUAGCUACACAAAAGAAGAGAAAUAAUGACACACAUAGUAGUAGCUAGCUAGUAAAGUGUGUAUGUAAGGCCUUGUUUAGUUCCCAGAAAAUUUUGCAAAAUUUUUCACGGUCCCCGUCACAUCGAAUCUUUAAACGCAUACAUAAAGUAUUAAAUAUAGACGAAAAUAAAAACUAAUUGCACAGUUUGGUCGAAAUAGACGAAACGAAUCUUUUGAGCCUAGUUAGUCCAUGAUUGGAUAAUAUUUGUCAAAUACAAACGAAAGUGCUACAGUGUCGAUUUUGCAAAAUUUUUCGGAACUAAACAAGGCCUAAACCUAAAAGCCCAUGCAUUAUUGCUUUUUAAAAAGUUAAAGCGGUGAUGGAUGGUUUUGUUCAUGGCUCGAGGAGGAUGUGUCCUAGCUAGUUGUUGGUGGGGGAGGUGAGAGUACCUAGGAAAAUUUGCUUACAUUUUCCUGUACAUGCAUGCAUGCAACGCUAAUUGGAUGGAUAUGGUCGGAACAUGCAUGGGUCCACCAUUCACAUCUCUUGGUCCUACACGCACGCCUACUAUUGUGAUGCGUCUCAGCUUUUUAAUGUGCCUGCGUUGCAUGCAUGCAGCUGGGUACGUAAGGACACGCCGCAAGCUGCCCAAACUCUAGCUCUGCUUCCCGCAUUGCAUUGCAUUGUAUCUACCUCGUGGCGCAUUAGGGUUAGAGAGAGAGAGAGAGAGAGAGAGAGAGAGAGAGAGAGAGAGAGAGAGAGAGAGAGAGAGAAGUGUGGUAUAGCUAGCAUGCAUCCAUAUAUAUCCGAUCGACCUGUAGUUCAUGGCACAUUCAUUAGGUUUGGAAGAGUGAGAUCGAGGCAGGACGAUAUGUAGUACGUCGUCGUCCUUCGUAUAAACGGACAUUCGCUCAAUGUUGAAUUGUUGACAGACGACGAUGCGCGCGGCACUUUGUUUGACCAUGCAUGCAUUCAUCCGUGCAUGCAUGGAGCGUCUAUGUGCUUGUCCCUGAAUAAACUAAUUAAUCACUGCACGAACUCGAUCGCCUUGCUGUCAACUUAGCUUAGCUUAUUACAAGUGUGUUAACGACAAGCAAUCAUGGAAAUGAGCUGCAUAUAGACACUGUUCACAAUGCACGUUAUGUUGGAGCACUAGCUAUAGCUAAUUAAUGAGCCAGCAAUUAACAAAACGCCUGCUAAACCAAAAUAUGCAUUUAAGCCAUGUUUCGUUUCCUCCGGUAAAGUUUAACUCCUGUCAUAUCGAGUGUUUGGACACAUGCAUUAAAUAUUAAAUAUAAAUUAUUUACAAAACUAAAAUAAAACUAGAGAGUAAUUUGCGAAAUAAAUCUUUUAAAUCUAGUUAGUCUAUAAUUAGAUACUAAUUGUCAAAUAAAACAGAAAUAUGCUAUAUGCUACAGUACAUCCUUAACCGGCAAGUACAGGCCGGGUGAGGCAUGUCGGAUGCUAGAGAUGGCCAAAUGGGCUAAGCCCAAUAAUACGCAGCCUAAGCACAUAUGGGCCUACUAAAGCAUCGCAUUACAUUAUGGGUCGAGCCACUAUGUGUCUCGUGCCCUUUUUUACCAUUCAAAAUGGGUGCUCUCAGGAUGGAUCAUAAUUAUGCCCCUUUUUAAUUCGAGAGCAAUGUUGAUCAAAUUUCGUCGUAGUUGCAGCACAGCCAAAAAAAAAAACUAACAAAAAGAGCCUGUCAGACAACCCAUGGGCCAUCCCAGCCAGGCAAGCCUGGCCGGAAACGAUCAUCUACAGCACCGGACAAAGCGUCAGAGCCAAUCCUGGCCGUUAAUCACGCUCUGGCCCACAGGUCAUGGCUCAUCAACCAGGCUUAAGUGCUUGCCUCCUUAUUAAUCAAGGAUGCAGCGGUACGAUCCUAUAGAACAGAUCCUGUUCAAGUAAGGUCGU
rnacentral:lncRNA from 1 species